GACGAACGCUGGCGGCGUGCUUAACACAUGCAAGUCGAACGAGAAUCGUAUGAAGGAGGAUUCGUCCAACGGAAUACGAGGACAGUGGCGGACGGGUGAGUAACGCGUGAGUAACCUGCCUUUCAGAGGGGGACAACAGUUGGAAACGACUGCUAAUACCGCAUAACGCAGCGAGGUCGCAUGACCUUGCUGUCAAAGAUUUAUCGCUGAAAGAUGGACUCGCGUCUGAUUAGCUAGUUGGUGAGGUAAAGGCUCACCAAGGCGACGAUCAGUAGCCGGACUGAGAGGUUGACCGGCCACAUUGGGACUGAGAUACGGCCCAGACUCCUACGGGAGGCAGCAGUGGGGAAUAUUGGGCAAUGGGCGCAAGCCUGACCCAGCAACGCCGCGUGAAGGAAGAAGGCUUUCGGGUUGUAAACUUCUUUUGUCAGGGAAGAGUAGAAGACUGUACCUGGCGAAUAAGCCACGGCUAACUACGUG
rnacentral:rRNA from 1 species